AAUUCGAUUGAGUUUGAUCAUGGCUCAGGACGAACGCUGGCGGCGUGCUUAACACAUGCAAGUCGAGCGGUAAGGCUCCUUCGGGAGUACACGAGCGGCGAACGGGUGAGUAACACGUGAGCAAUCUGCUCUUCACACUGGGAUACCCCCCGGAAACGGGUGCUAAUACCGGAUACAACCACUUCAGGCAUCUGACGGUGGUGGAAAGUUCUGGCGGUGAAGGAUGAGCUCGCGGCCUAUCAGCUUGUUGGUGAGGUAAUGGCCCACCAAGGCUUCGACGGGUAGCCGGCCUGAGAGGGUGACCGGCCACACUGGGACUGAGACACGGCCCAGACUCCUACGGGAGGCAGCAGUGGGGAAUAUUGGACAAUGGGCGAAAGCCUGAUCCAGCAACGCCGCGUGAGGGAUGACGGCCUUCGGGUUGUAAACCUCUUUCAGCAGGGACGAAGCGAAAGUGACGGUACCUGCAGAAGAAGCACCGGCCAACUACGUGCCAGCAGCCGCGGUAAUACGUAGGGUGCGAGCGUUGUCCGGAAUUAUUGGGCGUAAAGGGCUCGUAGGCGGUUUGUCGCGUCGGGAGUGAAAACUCAGG
rnacentral:rRNA from 1 species